rnacentral:lncRNA from 1 species
AUUAGAACGGUAAUUAUGUGUAUAAUGUCAUAUAACAUUAAAAAGUGUGGAAAAUAAUUCGUAAUUAAGAAAUGUUAAUAAAUUUGUUUAUAUAAUAGUCACGUUCAGAGUUAAUAAACAACUAACUGCUAACAAUAUAACACUAUUUUUUAUCAAACUUUAUGAACUUUGCACUACUUUUUCUGCGAAAUUUUAAUAGGAAUUGUCAAAUAAAAAAGCCAGCUAAUAUAGUUCCUUUAAUGCGCGUACAUUUCCCAACCUCUAAACAGUCUAUAUCAUUAAAAACAUUUCGAAAAACAAUGUAAGUAUUUCAUAGAAUUAAUUAAAUAAUGCAAUUUUCUACGGAACAUGAAUCAAGAUUGAUAUCAAUCUCCUCUUUUAUAUGCGCAACUGUUUAUUAUUCUUUAGACAUAGUAAUUUGUGAUAAAUUUGUGUGCAUGUGUGAUAAAAGGAACUACAUUAUUAAAACUGCUUUCCUUCACUGACAAAGAGGCUUACAUAAUACCGAAGACUGUAAGAACGCAUUAUAAAUAGCAUGCACAUGAAUAGAACUUGCAAUACGCGUUCAUUCGUUGAAUCGUUAAGACGUGUUGGAAAGAUUCAAACUCGUAUUAAAUCUUCAUAAGUAAAAUACAAAUUAACGUGCAAAAGUUAUGUGUACAGAAUUUUACGAAAAUCGUCAAGAUUAUUUAUCAUUAUAAUAAAAAAGUUGCUAAGAAGAAUUCGACCUUCUUUAGUUUGUUGACUUUAAGAUCGUGAAGAAUAUCGAGAUUAUUAAACGACACAAUGAAAGUGUUCUUCCAUAUCUUCUUAAUAAUUAUGCUGAUAACCUUCAGCCUAAUAUCACUUGGAUUGUCAACAAGAAUCCCUCCAGAACAAACAACACAACUUCCGACUACCAUCGAAAGACAUUCAACACCAUUUAUACAGCCUACACGUGAACCAAUUGUACCAGCUGUACCAUACAAAGCUCAUCUUAUAGAUACUCCGGAAUUUGAAGAAGUAACUUGCCCACCAGGGAAACAAAAAGACCCACGCGGGAUAUGUCGAGAUAUUGCGCGAUAAGCAAUAAUAUUGAACAAGCAGGCCUAAAUAUUUGAGCCGUUCUACAACACAAAAAUCUAAUAAUAUAACAAAUACAAGGAGGUAAUUUAAGAGACACAAAAUAACAUGUAUGGCAACUUACAAAUGUAAACAAAACUUAAUUAUCACUAAUAAAGUCAAUUACUCUGAAGCUCUAUAUAUUUUCUGAAAUAAACUAUGAUCUAUAAUAAUUUACUGACGUUUAUGGUAACGAAAAAUAGUAUGACAAUGAUGUGCGUAAUAUUGUAUAAUAUAUUAUGUUAGAAACCUGUAUGAAACCAUUCGAUCAAAUGUCUUAAUAAAAUUGGUAUUCUAUAAUCGUUACAUUAAGAGUUAAUAAACCACUACCUAAUAUAACAUCACACUAUUUCUUAUUAAAACUUAUUUGAGUCACGUCUUUUAUCUGUAAAAUUUAGUAAGAAUUAACGAAAUUAGAACGUCGUUCUACGCGAUUCAUUAGAUGCGCUUAAGAGGUAUAGGUCCAAUUCCCAAUCUCUUCUAAAAAGUGUAUAUCGGACAACACAUUUCGAAGGACAAUGUAAGUAUUUCCUAAUAUCGAUAAUCAAUGCAAUUUUGGGGAGCAUAUAAACCACAAUUAGCAUUAAACACAUAUUUUAUACGCGCAAUUAUUUGGCAUAGCGUAGAUUUGUAUUUGUUACAUUCAUAGAAACAGAAUAAAGUACUUUCUAAAACUGGUUUUGCUUAUAGACUUAUGUAUAGGUUUAUGUAAGACGAAAGACUAUAAAAACGCAUUAUAAACAGUGUACGCGUGAAAAAAGCUUACAAUACGUGUUAAUUUAUCGAGACGGUAAGACGUGUCGGAAAGAUUCAAACUCGUAUUAAAUUUUCAUCGUAAAAUAUAUCGGGAUUAUUGAACGUCAUAAUGAAAGUGUUCCUUCAUGUUUCCUUAAUAAUUGGGCUGAUAAUAUUCAGCCUAAUAUCAUUUGGAAACCCAAAAAGAAUCCGACCAACAACACAGCUUCCGUCUACAACCGUACUUUCAACAACACCUCAGCCAGCUCAAGCACCUACUGUUAUAGAGUUGCCGGAAUUUGAAGAAAAGACUUGCCCAUCCGGACAACUAAAAGACCCACGCGGAAUAUGUCGCACAAAGCAAUAAUAUUAAGAAAAAGAUACGCCUCUAGAAUUACUAAAUAAUAUAGCAGAUAUGAGGAGGUAAUUCAAGCAACAUAAAAUAACACAUGGCAAUCUACGAACUAAACAUUAAUUAUCACUAAUAGUCAAUUAUUCUAUAUAUCUUCUGAAAUAAUCUUCGAAAAUAAUCUACGUAUAAUCUAUAAUAAUUUACUGAUGGUUAUAACGAAAAAUAAUAUGACAAUUACGUGCGUAAUAUAAUAUAUUAUGUUAGAAAACUAUAUAAAACAUCAAAAAGUCACACAUCCGAUCAAAAAGUUUUAAUAAAUUCACUUUUUGAUAAUCGUUACACUAAGAGUUACCACUAUCUACUAUACCACUAUCUACUAUAAUAUAAUACUAUUUCUUUUUAAAGCUCUAAAUAUUUUAAUCGCAACUUUUCUUGUGAAAUUUUAAUAGAAAUUACUGAAAUUAGAACGUCAGCCGUUCAACGCGGUUUGUUAGAUUCGUGUAGAAGGCAAGGUAGGUUUAAUUCUUAAUUUACCCUAAAAUGUGUAUAUCUCGGGGAACAAAAUAAGAAUUUCCUAACAUCGAGUAAAUAAUGCAAUUGUGAGCAGUACAUAAACCGUGAAUAGUAUUAAUUACAUUUUAUAUGCACAACUAUUUGUCAAGUAAUUAGUUUAAAUAGUAUAGAUUAGUGAUUAUUUGUUGCAUAUGUGGGAACUGGAUAAGACUUUUUAUAAAACUGGUUUUGCUAGAUAGGCUUACGUAAUACGACAGACUAUAGGUACAUAUUAUAAAUAGCAUGCGCUUGAAAAGAAUUCUCAAUAUGUGUUAAUUUGUCGGGACGGUAAGACGUGUUGGGAGGACUCAAACUCAUAUCAAAUUUUCGUAAGUAAAAUACAGAUUACCGUGCAAAAACUAUGUUUGAAGAACCUUACAAAAUGCAACAAGAAUAAGUUAUUAUUAUCAUAAAACAGUUACUAAAAAGAAUUUGACUUUCUAAUUUUAGUUUUUUGGCUUUAAGGUGGUGAAAAAUUGAGAUUAUUAAAUAGCACAAUGAAAGAUUUUUUCUGUUUUCCUAAUAACUAUGCUGAUAAUGCUCAGCCUAAUAUCACUUGGAAAGUCAGAAAGAGUCCAUCGAGAAGUAACAACACAGCUUCCGGCUAUCAGCGAAUUACAUGCAACAGAAAGUUGCCAUACAAGCCAUACAGCCAUACAAGAAGAGUUACCUAAUAUUAUAUACCUCCCGAGAUUGACAGUGGUUUGCCCACCAGGGAAACUAAAAGAUCCACACGGAAUAUGUCGAGAUAUUGCGGAAUAAGCAAUGAAAUUGAAAACAAGUAGGUAAUUAUCAAUUAAAGAUAUGCUAUCACUAAUUAUAACAAAUGGAAUUAACAACAUAUGAAAACUUUUCAUCCAUCAAGACCUCCAUUUUAUGUAUUCAUCCUAUUUAUUCUAUAUAUAUUCAUCCUAUCUAUUCUAUCUAUUCUUCCCACCUCAGCCCUAAAUAUUUGAAACGUUACAUAAUACAGAAAUUGUCAAAUAAUACAGCAGAGUCGAAAAAGUAAUUCAGGGGACAUAAAAUAAUAUAUGGUAACUUACAAAUGAAAAUAAACAUCAAUUAAUUAUCAUUAAGAAAAUCAAUUGUUCCGACGUUCUAUAUAUUUUGAUGAAAUAAUCUAUAAUCUAUAAUAUUUACUGAUGCUUGUGUUAACAAAAAACGGUUUGACAAUUAUAUGUGUAAUAUAAAAUAAUAUGUUGAAGAACUGUAUAAGAAAUCAUUUGACUAAGAAAUCUUAAUAAAAUUGGUUCAUAUAACUGUUACAUUAAGUGUCGAUAAAUAACUACUACUGCUGUAACAUAACACUGUUUCUUAUUAAAACUCAGAAACAUUUGAAUCAGAUCUUUCAUCUGUGAAAUUUUAGUAAAAAUUACCGAAAUUAAAAUCUUUCAACGCGGUUCGUUAGAUGCGCGUAGAAGGCAUAGAUUUAAUUUCCAAUCUCUUCUAAAAAGCGUAUAUAGGACUAAAUAUUUCGGGGAACAAUGUAAGUAUAUUCUAACAUUGAAUAAUUAAUGCAAUUUUGGAAAGCACAUAAACCACGAUUAGUAAUUAUUAUUAAUUGCUUCUUUUAUAUGCGCAAUUAUUUGGCAUGGUGUAGAUUAGUGAUUAUUUGUUACAUACCUCGAAACAGGAUAAAACUGUGACAGUGUAAAACUGGUUUUGCUCAUAGAUAGGCUUACGUAACACGAAAGAUUAUAAGAAUGCAUUAUAAACAGCAUACGCGUAGAAAAAUCUUACAAUACGUGUUAAUUUGUCGGAACGAUAAGACGUGUCGGGAAGACUCAAACUCAUAUUAAAUUUUCUUUGGCUUUAAUGUCGUGAAGAAUAUCGAGAUUAUUAAACAGCCAAUGAAAGUGUUGCUCCAUGCUUUCUUAAUAUUUAUGCUAAUAAUGUCGAGCCUAAUACCACUUGGAAAAUCAGAAGGAGUCCGUCAAGAACCAACAACAUAGCUUCCGUUUACCGUCGAAUAUCUACAACAGGACGUUAUUAUUUACUUAACAUUAUACAUCUACCGAGAUCGAAAGAAGUGACGUGCUCACUGCUCACCAGAGAAACUAAAAGAUCCACACGGAAGAUGUCGAACUAUUGGGGCAAUAAAAAUAAUACGCAAUAAAAUUGAAAACUAAAGCAGUUGAAGAAGAGUCAUUAACAGAAAUUCCACUUUCUACCGUGAAUUAUUCAGAAACCUCUCUCGAAAUAGCACCUUUUAUCGCUAAUAUCAUAGAAUUUAAACCUCGUAUUGCCGUAACUUGCCCAGAAGGAGAACAACUAGAUCCACACGGGAUAUGUCGCCAGAGGAUGUAAUGUUGAAGACACAUGUAGAUAUAAAGUGAUUUUCAUUGGUAAUGCUGAAUCCAGUAAAAAUAAUGGAACACAUAAAAAUAAUAACUACACAACUAUAGAAUACCAUAUAAUACUUUGCGAUCCGCUGACACUGUAACAUCGUCGUAUCUUCUCUAACGUUAUGAUUCGUCGAAUAUAUAGUAAUAUAUAGUAGUCAACUAUAUAUAGUAAUAUUGCGUAGUAUCAUAGUAAUGCGAUGAUGUAAAAAAUGUGAUUAUAGUUAAAAACACACCUAUGAUUGAAUAUGUCCUUUUAUAUGGCUAUUUUUUUAGGGGGAGGAUAUACAAAUCCGAAGCAAAAUCAGCGUCCCUUCUAUGAAGUUCCAGAAGAUUUUCUUUGUUUAAAAGGCCAAAGAAUGAAUACUCAGUCUUACACUGGGUGACUCAGAGUUCAGAUAUGUCGUUUUCCUUUCUAAUGAAAAGAAUGCGCAGAUAAUUGUCGAUUU